rnacentral:rRNA from 1 species
GAUGAACGCUGGCGGCGUGCCUAAUACAUGCAAGUCGAGCGAACGGACGAGAAGCUUGCUUCUCUGAUGUUAGCGGCGGACGGGUGAGUACCACGUGGACCACCUCCCUAUAAGACUGGGAUAACAUCCGGAACCCGGAGCUCAUACCGGCUGAUAAUUUGAACCGCCUGGCUCCAAAGCGAAAGACGGUCUUGCUGCCAAUUACAGAUGGGUCCGCGCUUCAUUAGCUAGUUGGUCAGGUAAAGGCUUACCAACGCAACGAUGCGUAGCCGCCCUGAGAGGGUGAUCAGCCACACUGGAACUGAGACACGGUCCAGACUCCUACGGGAGGCAGCAGUAGGGAAUCUUCGGCAAUGGGCGAAAGCCUGACGUAGCAAUGCCGCGUGAAGGAUGAAGGUCUUCGGAUUGUAAAACGCUGUUGUUAGGAAAGAACAGAUGUUUACGUAACUGGGCACAUCUUGACGGUACCUAAUCAGAAAGCCACGGCUAACUACGUG